rnacentral:tRNA from 1 species
GCCGGUGUAGCUCAAUGGUAGAGCAGGUGAUUUGUAAUCACCGGGUUGCCCGUUCGAGUCGGGCCAUCGGCUCCA